rnacentral:lncRNA from 1 species
GAACUUAGGGAUUUUAGAAAUGACAAGAGGGUGGGUUCUUUAGUUUUUUCUUAUUGUCUCCCAUGCAUUCUAGACAGCAUGCUGCAGAAGCCUCCAACCCUGAACAGUCAGCAGCAUAGCAAAAACUCCAAGAAGAGCCUUUCCCUAGCCAAAGUGAAAGUAAAGAAUGGUCUAAGAAAAUUCUGUGUUGGUACUCACCCUGCUCCAGCCAGAUAUCAGAAGAACCCACCUCUGGUACACAGUUUCAGCAGGGCUGAGCUGGGAGUUGACUCUACCACCUUUCUUCCUUGGGAGUGCCACUGUCCAGCAGGAGUGGAGUACAGGACAUUUGCACUAAAAAUGUCCCUAAUAAUUAUAUGAAAAGAGGAAAGGUUUAAAAUCAGUAACCCAUACUCUUAACCUCAAUAAAUUAGGGGAAAAAAUACCCAAAGCAAGGAGAAGGAAGGAAAUUGAAACUAAGAAGGAAAAAAAAAUCAGUGAAAUAAAUUGUUCUUUGGAAAAUAAGAUUGAUAACUUGCAGCAAGACCAGUAGAGAUAAAAAGGGAGAAAACACAUCACAAACUACAAAUCCUGCAGCUAUUAAAAGAAUAAUAAAGAAAUGAUACAGCUUUACAUUAAUAAAUUAGACCACUUAGAGGGAAUGAAUCCAUUUUUAAAAACUAAAACUUACCAAAACUGAAUUAAGAUGAAAUAACCUGAAUUAGUGGUGUAGCCAUUAAAGAAAUUGAAUUCGUCGUUAAAAAGAUCCUGAGGAAUCUCAGGGCCAGAUGGUUUCACAGGAGGAAUCAAAAUUCCGUUUUUAUGUAGUCUCUUCCAGAAAAUAGAAGGGAAGACUCACAAACUCAAUUUUUGAGGCUAGAAUUACCCUAACAGCAAAAUCAGGUAAAGACAAUAUAUAUGAAAAGAAUUCUGCAGGCCAUUAUCUUUCAUGAACUUAGAGGCAAUAAUUUUUAACAAAAGGUUAGCAAAUUUAAUCUUUAUAUAUGUAUAAAUUAUAUAUAUAAACUUUAACAUGGCUUAGUAGGAUUUAUUUCAAGCAUCUGUGCCUGGUUCAACAUUUAAAAAUCAGUAUAUGAUUUACCAUAUCAGCAGGCUGAAGAAGAAAAAUUAUAUAUGACUUAUCAGUUGGCCCAGAAAAAAGCAUUCGACAAAAUCCAACAUUCAUUAUGAUUUAGAAACUCCAAAAACUAGGAAUAGAGAACUUCCUGAACUAGAUAGCAUCUGCCAAAACUCUCCAGCUAAGACUAUACUUAAUGGUGAGGGUGGAAUGCUUACCCUGGAAGGUUGUGAAGAAGACCAAGAUGUGUACUCCCACCAUUGCUAUUUAAAUAGUACUGGAAGUUGUAGCCACUGCAGUAAGCAAGAAAAAUAAUUAAACAAGCUGUCCCCUCUUUGCAGAUUACUUUAUUAUUUAUAUAGAAAAUCCUAAGGAAUGUUAGGAAGAAACUUGAACAGUGACCUUAACACAGUUGCAUACAAGAUAAAUACACAAAAAUCAAUCUGAUUUUUAUUUACUAACAAAGGACAUAUGAAAACUGAGAUUAACCAAUACAAUUCAUAAUUGUUCCAAAAAUAUGAAAUAUUUAGGUGUAAGGUUGCAUAGGAUUUUUGUACUGAAAAAUCACAAAACAGUGAAAUUAAAGAGCUAGAUAAGUGUUGACACAUACUGUGUUCAUAUAUUAGAAUAUUUAAUAUAGUAAAUAUGUCCCUAGGUUUACUUAGAUUUUGCAUAAUUUCUGUAAAAAUCAUAAGGUUUUUUUGUAGACAUGGCAAGAUUUUCAAAAUUCUGUAGGCAUACGCCCAGAAUAACAAUCUUGAAAAAAUAGCAAAGUGGUUAGAAUCAUUCUAAUAUUAAAGUUUUCUCUGCACUUAGAGUAAUCAAGAUGGUUGUGGUAUUGACAGGGGGUUAGACAAAUAGAUCAAUGGAAUGAACUAGAGAACCAAGAAAUUCACACACAGAAAUAUGUUCAAUUAAUUUUUGAUAAUGAUGGAAAAACGAUUCAAUGAAGGAAGGAUAGCCUUGUCAGCAGAUGAUGUUGGAGCAGUUUGACAUCCAUAGACAAAAUGGUGAAACUUGAUCUGAAUUUGUACCUUAAAUUAACUGAAAAUCAUAUUUAAGUGCAAAGUUAUGAAACUUACAGGGGAAAAAAAAUAGUCAUCAGGACCCAAGAUUAGACAGUGAGUUCUUAGUAUUGAGACUAAAAGCACAAUCCACAAAAGAAAAAUUGAUCAUUUGGAACCCAUUUAAAAACUUUUGCUUGGGACUUCUAGGUGGCUCAGCAGUUGAGCAUCUGCCUUCGGCUCAGGGUGUGAUCCUGGAUCCUGGGAUUGAGUCCCUCAUUGGGCUCCCUACAGGAAGCCUACUUCUCCCUCUGCCUGUGUCUCUGCCUCUCUCUCUCUCUCUGUUUCUCUCAUGAAUAA